GACGUAGGGCGCGAGCGUUGUCCGGAUUUAUUGGGCGUAAAGAGCUCGUAGGCGGCUUGUUGCGUCAGCUGUGAAAGCCCCCGGCUCAACUGGGGAGGGUCACGCGAUACUGAUCGACUCGAAGGCAGGAGAGGGAAGUGGAAUUCCCGGUGUAGUGGUGAAAUGCGUAGAUAUCGGGAGGAACACCAGUGGCGAAGGCGACUUCCUGGCCUGUUCUUGACGCUGAGGCGCGAAAGCUAGGGGAGCAAACGGG
rnacentral:rRNA from 1 species